rnacentral:rRNA from 1 species
UGCGUAGGCAGCGAGCGUUGUUCGGAGUUACUGGGCGUAAAGCGUGCGUAGGCGGUGGUCCAAGUCUGGUGUGAAAUCUCCCGGCUUAACUGGGAGGGUGCGCCGGAAACUGGGCCGCUGGAGUACGGGAGAGGCAAGCGGAAUUCCAGGUGUAGCGGUGAAAUGCGUAGAUAUCUGGAGGAACACCCGUGGUGCAGACGGCUUGCUGGACCGUGACUGACGCUGAGGCACGAAAGCGUGGGUAGCAAACAGG